GAUGAACGCUGGCUACAGGCUUAACACAUGCAAGUCGAGGGGAAACGGCAUUGAGUGCUUGCACUGAAUGGACGUCGACCGGCGCACGGGUGAGUAACGCGUAUCCAACCUUCCCGUUACUGCGGGAUAACCCGCCGAAAGGCAGACUAAUACCGCAUGUUCUUCGAUGACGGCAUCAGAUUCGAAGCAAAGAUCCGUCGGUAACGGAGGGGGAUGCGUCUGAUUAGCUAGUUGGCGGGGCGACGGCCCACCAAGGCGACGAUCAGUAGGGGUUCUGAGAGGAAGGUCCCCCACAUUGGAACUGAGACACGGUCCAAACUCCUACGGGAGGCAGCAGUGAGGAAUAUUGGUCAAUGGGCGGAAGCCUGAACCAGCCAAGUAGCGUGCGGGAGGACGGCCCUACGGGUUGUAAACUGCUUUUAUGCGGGGAUAAAGUGAGGGACGCGUCCCUUUUUGCAGGUACCGCAAAUAAGGAC
rnacentral:rRNA from 1 species